rnacentral:rRNA from 1 species
CGGUAAACAGAGGGAAGCGAGCCUGCAGGGGGAGCGAAUCCCAAAAAUAACGUCCCAGUUCGGAUUGUAGUCUGCAACCCGACUACAUGAAGCUGGAAUCGCUAGUAAUCGCGGAUCAGAAUGCCGCGGUGAAUACGUUCCCGGGUCUUGUACACACCGCCCGUCACACCAUGGGAGUCGGAAAUGCCCGAAGUCUGUGACCCAACCAUUAAGGAGGGAGCAGCCGAAGGCAGGUCGGAUGACUGGGGUGAAGUCGUAACAAGGUACC